AGCUCAGCACGGCAAGAUCAGUAGCCUAUUCCCAAGCUGACAGCGCGGGUUCGAUUCCCGUCACCCGCUCCA
rnacentral:tRNA from 1 species